CAGUCGCCGCGGGAAUACGAAGGGUGCAAGCGUUAAUCGGAAUUACUGGGCGUAAAGCGUGCGUAGGCGGUGAGUUAAGUCUGCUGUGAAAUCCCCGGGCUCAACCUGGGAAUGGCAGUGGAUACUGGCUCGCUAGAGUGUGUCAGAGGAUGGUGGAAUUCCCGGUGUAGCGGUGAAAUGCGUAGAGAUCGGGAGGAACAUCAGUGGCGAAGGCGGCCAUCUGGGACAACACUGGCGCUGAGGCACGAAAGCGUGGGGAGCAAACAGGAUUAGAUACCCCUGUAGUCCCUGUCUCUUAUAC
rnacentral:rRNA from 1 species